UCCCAGCCGUAAACGAUGCCGGCUAGGUGCUGACUGAGGUUUUGGCCUCGGUCAGUGUCGUAGCGAAGGCGUUAAGCUGGCCGCCUGAGGAGUACGGCCGCAAGGCUGAAACUUGAAGGAAUUGACGGGGGGGCACCACAAGGGGUGAAUGCCUGCGGCUUAAUUGGACUCAACGCCGGGAAUCUUACCGGGGGCGACAGCAGGAUGAAGGUCGGGCUGAAGACCUUACCAGA
rnacentral:rRNA from 1 species